rnacentral:rRNA from 1 species
UACGUAGGGUGCAAGCGUUAAUCGGAAUUACUGGGCGUAAAGCGUGCGCAGGCGGUUCGUUGUGUCGGCGGUGAAAUCCCCGGGCUCAACCUGGGAAUGGCCGUUGAAACUGGCGAACUGGAGUGUGGCAGGAGGGGGGUGGAAUUCCGCGUGUAGCAGUGAAAUGCGUAGAGAUGCGGAGGAACACCGAUGGCGAAGGCAGCCCCCUGGGCUGACACUGACGCUCAGGCACGAAAGCGUGGGGAGCAAACAGG